GUCGACUACCAUAUCGCAUUGAAAGCACCGGUUCUCGUCCAAUCACCGAAGUUAAGCAACGUUGGGCCUGAUUAGUACUUGUAUGGGUGACCGGCUCGGAAUACCGGGUGUUCCUGGCU
rnacentral:rRNA from 1 species